GCACAAGUAGCUAAACAGGAUAGAGCGACCGACUUCUAAUCGGUAGGUUUCUGGUUCGAGUCCAGACAUGUGCGCCA
rnacentral:tRNA from 1 species